rnacentral:rRNA from 1 species
CCCGCUGAACUUAAGCAUAUCAAUAAGCGGAGGAAAAGAAACCAACAGGGAUUGCCCUAGUAACGGCGAGUGAAGCGGCAACAGCUCAAAUUUGAAAUCUGGCUUCGGCCCGAGUUGUAAUUUGUAGAGGAAGCUUUUGGUGAGGCACCUUCUGAGUCCCCUGGAACGGGGCGCCAUAGAGGGUGAGAGCCCCGUAUAGUCGGAUGCCAAUCCAGUGUAAAGCUCCUUCGACGAGUCGAGUAGUUUGGGAAUGCUGCUCAAAAUGGGAGGUAAAUUUCUUCUAAAGCUAAAUACCGGCCAGAGACCGAUAGCGCACAAGUAGAGUGAUCGAAAGAUGAAAAGCACUUUGAAAAGAGGGUUAAAUAGCACGUGAAAUUGUUGAAAGGGAAGCGUUUGUGACCAGACUUGCGCCGUUCCGAUCAUCCGGUGUUCUCACCGGUGCACUCGGGGCGGCUCAGGCCAGCAUCGGUUUUGGUGGGGGGAUAAAGGUUCGGGGAACGUAGCUCCUCCGGGAGUGUUAUAGCCCCGGGCGUAAUGCCCUCGCCGGGACCGAGGUUCGCGCAUCUGCAAGGAUGCUGGCGUAAUGGUCAUCAACGACCCGUCUUGAAACACGGACCAAGGAGUCAAGGUUUUGCGCGAGUGUUUGGGUGUAAAACCCGCACGCGUAAUGAAAGUGAACGUAGGUGAGAGCUUCGGCGCAUCAUCGACCGAUCCUGAUGUAUUCGGAUGGAUUUGAGUAAGAGCGUUAAGCCUUGGACCCGAAAGAUGGUGAACUAUGCUUGGAUAGGGUGAAGCCAGAGGAAACUCUGGUGGAGGCUCGCAGCGGUUCUGACGUGCAAAUCGAUCGUCAAAUCUGAGCAUGGGGGCGAAAGACUAAUCGAACCAUCUAGUAGCUGGUUACCGCCCAAGUUCCCCCU